rnacentral:lncRNA from 1 species
UUAAUUUCCCUUUUCAAUCAUCUCCCAUUGAAAGCUGAAUCAUGAGGAUACCAUCUCCAAGCAGGUGGAGUAUUUGAUCCCUUUAGCAAGGCAGUGAUUUUGAAAUUCGGGUUUAGACAAAAAGAUAUUUCAAGCUCCUGAAGAACAAGUUUGAAGGAUUCAGAGCAGAGAAUUGCACCCUGGCAUGAUGCCUAUGCCAGCUGGACUGUGUGAUUUUUGUUCUUUAGUAGAAGGAUAACAUGACAUAGCAGGAAUAAUACUGCCUUUUCUUUCUGGCAUGGAUCAAGAGAAAAGAAAAUACAAGAAAACAGACAGAAGCAAGGCAAGGUACUUCUAUGGAAGGGUGAGCCCUCACAGAUGGAGCAAUGGGGCGCGCACACCUGAACAAGGGAGGGGAAGGAGUUCUUAUCCCUGAUGCAUGUGACCCCUGCUGCUGUGUCCUUCCCCUAUUGGCUAAGGCUUCUGACAGCUUUGGAGAUUGUGACAUUGGAAUAAAGGAAAAACGUACAGGACUCAUGAAGCGCUGAAAUGUUCACAAAUAUCAAGCAAAAGUCAAUGAAAUUUAUUUUGAGCUAUUUACAUCAUUUAAUAAUUGAGCAAGGUAUACUCCUAUGAACAAAAUUUGGAGCAUGUUUGUCUCUCUCUGCCUGGCGUCUUCAGAAUUUGGAAACUAGUUAGUCAUGGAAAUUUAUUUUGAGCUAUUUACAGCAUUUAAUAAUUGAGCAAGGUAUACUCCUAUGAACAAAAUUUGGAGCAUGUUUGUCUCUCUCUGUCUGCCUGGCAUCUACAGAAUUUGGAAACUAGUUUCGUUCCCAGAUUUCCUAAACUUUCCAGAGAAAAUGGUCUUCUCCCUGGCUCAGCAAGAAGAUGAACUUUAAACACUGAGAAACUGGUCAUCUCCCUGGCUCAACCAGAAGAUGAACUUUAAACACUACUCUCAAUGACUUGAUGUUCCCAUCACUACUCCUGUCAUAAAGGGAGGGGACUCAGAUAUUGAGAAUUUUAUGAUAGUGUGAACUGUCUGGUAUGUCAUUUAAGUAAGCCCGUUGCUGAAAUAUUUUCCAUGUUAUUAGAAAGAGCUGAAGAGAGGGAUUGAGAUGGCUUCUUUAUUUUUUGUCUUUUGGGAAUUAAAGGAACCUGGUUCAACAAGGGCCUACACCUAAGUCUCUUGUUGUACCAGAGUACAAUUUAGGACUGCUCCUGAGGAAGGAAUUAGCUAGAAAUCUAGAGAGUAAGGGUAACAGAUUUACAUAGAAUAACAGCCUCAGUAUUUUUGGUUCCUCUCCAGUAAAGAUCACAAAGAAUAUUGCUAAAUCGCUAAAACACCUUUGCAAUAACGUAAGGGCUUACAACUAUAUACCAAUGUAGCUCAGUUACUAAACUGGAGUAAACUAAUUUCUCUUGUGUAGAAAAAUUGGUUGGCUGUGGUUUUAUAGCAGAUCUGCAAUUAUUAAUAGUUAUGCCAAUAAUCGUUUAACAGUGCAUAUGUUAAUAUAUAUGGAAAGACAAUGUGUAUAGACAGAUGUGUAAAAUUGAAAAAUAAACAUAUAACAAGAGAGAAACAUCUAUCGAACAGACAAUAUACAUACACAUCAAACACAACAGCAGUUUUAGUGACCAUAAUAUUUAUUUCUCAUUUUUACAUUGCUUACUUUAGUGACAACUGAAAAUGACAGUUGGCAAUGCAGCUAACAGUUUCAAUAAAAGUAUAAAACAAAAGACUGUGUACAAAGCACCUGUCUUUCCGCUUUUGUAAUCUUCCGUUGGAAAAAAUUUACACACCUAAGUAACCAUCUGUUUUCUUCAAGAAAAAAUCAUUCUUAUUUCUCUCUCUCAUCUUGAAAACAGCUGUCAGCCAGGAGGGCAGAGCUGAAAUUUAUUGCCACAUCACAUGAAGCAUAGAACAGACUCCACUACUCCUUGAGAUUCAAAACUUUGCCUCUCACAAAGUUACCUUUUAUUUUCCUCUUGUUUGUCACUCAUCUCCCC